CCCAGCAUCCAAAGCGAGGAGGUUAUGGAGGUUGGGGGGUUAGGGACAGAGCAGGAGAGAAUGGGGCUUCUCCUCUGGCGGCCCCAGCUUUUGUCUGAGCUCUGGGAUCGGGUUUCUUUAGGAAACAAUCAGAGGCCUCUGGAAAAAAACACACUCAGAACCUGGCAACAGGCAGAGGGGCAAGGCCUGGGGAGGAAACGGCACUGCUCCACUCAGUUCUCAGCAGGUUCCAGACAGCGGGAAGGAGCCUUCAAGUGUGACCCCAAUGUUAUAGGUUCUUCCUCCCUCCUCUGCGGUGUGGGACUGGCCCCUACCUGCCCACCAGGUAAGCUGUGGAAGUGCCAAGAAAGAAACAGGCCCCUGGAGUUGCCCUCAGAGAAAACAGCAGAAAGUGGACAUGGGAGAUGUGGAAGCUGCUCUGUCCACAGCAAACCCUCCCGCCCCCGCCCGGGCCUGCACACUCCAGCCCUUCACAGCCUGAAUCUGAGGCUCAGUCUGGCAAAUUAGCCUGGUCUUAUCAAAGGAAACCAAACCAGCGGAAGCCCAAGGAUCACCCAAGACCCACUGUCUGGACAAACCCACCACUGAAGUGUCCAUUCUUUUCUAGGAGACUCCAAGCCUACCACCCCCACCCCCGCAACUCCCACCUCCAUUCCUGGAAUAAAGGGACAA